rnacentral:tRNA from 1 species
GGUUUGUGGCUCAGUGGUAGAGCGCUUGCCUAGCAUGCAUGAGGCACUUUGUUCGAUCCUCAGCACCA